rnacentral:rRNA from 1 species
AUUGAACGCUGGCGGAAUGCUUUACACAUGCAAGUCGAGCGGCAGCGCGGCCUUCGGGCUGGCGGCGAGCGGCGAACGGGUGAGUAAUGCAUCGGAACAUGCCCAGUCGUGGGGGAUAACACUUCGAAAGAAGUGCUAAUACCGCAUACGUCCUGAGGGGGAAAGCGGGGGAUCGCAAGACCUCGCGCGAUUGGAGUGGCUGAUGUCAGAUUAGCUAGUUGGUGGGGUAAAGGCCUACCAAGGCGACGAUCUGUAGCUGGUCUGAGAGGAUGAUCAGCCACACUGGGACUGAGACACGGCCCAGACUCCUACGGGAGGCAGCAGUGGGGAAUUUUGGACAAUGGGGGCAACCCUGAUCCAGCCAUUCCGCGUGAGUGAAGAAGGCCUUCGGGUUGUAAAGCUCUUUCGGCAGGAACGAAACGGUGGGCUCUAACAUAGUCCGCUAAUGACGGUACCUGAAGAAGAAGCACCGGCUAACUACGUG